AAAAAGGAUAAAAUGAUGCAGAAAGUCCGAGUUAAGCUGCUGGGCGAGAGUAGUACUAGGAUGGGGACCUCCCGGGAAGUCCGUGUGCAUCCCUUUUU